CCUACGGGAGGCAGCAGUGGGGAAUAUUGCACAAUGGGGGGAACCUUGAUGCAGCAACGCCGCGUGGGUGAAGAAGUACUCCGGUAUGUAAAGCCCUGUCAGCAGGGAAGAAAAUGGCGGUACCUGACCAAGAAGCCCCGGCUAACUACGUGCCAGCAGCCGCGGUAAUACGUAGGGGGCAAGCGUUAUCCGGAUUUACUGGGUGUAAAGGGAGCGUAGACGGCACGGCAAGCCUGAUGUGAAAGCCCGCGGCCCAACCGCGGGACUGCAUUGGGAACUACCGGGCUGGAGUGCCGGAGAGGUAGGCGGAAUUCCUAGUGUAGCGGUGAAAUGCGUAGAUAUUAGGAGGAACACCAGUGGCGAAGGCGGCCUACUGGACGGUGACUGACGCUGAGGCUCGAAAGCGUGGGGAGCAAACAGGAUUAGAUACCCCGGUAGUC
rnacentral:rRNA from 1 species